AUUGUACUCCCUCCGUCCCAAAAUAAGUGACUCAAAAGUGACUCAAAUUUGCACUACUCUAGUGCAAAAUUGAGUCACUUUUGAGUCAAUUAUUUUAGGACGGAGGGAGUACAUG
rfam:Hordeum vulgare subsp. vulgare, WGS project CAJW01000000 data, contig: morex_contig_157327